GUAGGGAAUAUUGCACAAUGGAGGAAACUCUGAUGCAGCGACGCCGCGUGAGUGAUGAAGGCCUUCGGGUCGUAAAGCUCUGUCGCAGGGGAAUAACACAAUGAAGGUACCCUGUAAGAAAGGAUCGGCUAACUUCGUGCCAGCAGCCGCGGUAAGACGAGGGAUCCUAGCGUUGUUCGGAAUCAUUGGGCGUAAAGCGGAUGUAGGUGGCUAUGUAAGUCAGAUGUGAAAGCCUGGGGCUCAACCCCAGAAGUGCAUUUGAUACUGCGUAGCUUGAGUGUCGGAGAGGUUACUAGAAUUGUUGGUGUAGUGGUGAAAUACGUAGAUAUCAACAGGAAUACCGGAGGCGAAGGCGGGUAACUGGCCGAACACUGACACUGAGAUCCGAAAGCGUGGGGAGCAAACAGGAUUAGAAACCCUAGUAGUCC
rnacentral:rRNA from 1 species